UGUAUUGCGGGUGACUUUUG
rnacentral:siRNA from 1 species